GGGGGCACUGAGGGGACACUGAGGUGGCACUGAGGUGACAGAGGUCUCUGUGAGCACCAGUUCGGGAAUGCCCCCGGGGGACAGGAGGGGACAGGAGGGCACAGGUGACCCUGGGGGUGACACUGAGGUGACAGGGGUGUCCCAGGUGACCCUGGGGGUGACAGAGGUGACACUGAGGGGACACUGAGGUGGCACUGAGGUGGCAGAGGUCUCUGUGAGCACCAGUUCGGGACAGCACCCGGGGGACAGGAGGGGACAGGUGACCCUGGGGGUGACACUGAGGUGACAGGGGUGACACAGGUGACCCUGGGGGUGACAGAGGGGACACUGAGGGGACACUGAGGUGGCACUGAGGUGGCACUGAGGUGGCAGAGGUCUCUGUGAGCACCAGUUCGGGACAGCACCCAGGGGACAGGAGGGCACAGGUGACCCUGGGGGUGACACUGAGGUGACAGGGGUGACACAGGUGACCCUGGGGGUGACAGAGGGGACACUGAGGUGGCACUGAGGGGACACUGAGGUGGCAGAAGUCUCCGUGAGCACCAGUACGGGACAG